rnacentral:lncRNA from 13 species
AUGGGUUGUUAUGCAAUUAUAAUGAUUAGGAACAUUUCAGUUACACUUAAAAUGGACUCUGUCCUUAAUUUCAUGUCUUUAAUCCUAUGUCAAGCAUGGGUUAUUGUUUUUGUUUUUCACAUUAGCAGCAUAUUAAAAUGUUUGUUGUCUUUGUUUACAGAAGGCCCUUAUGACAUCUUGAACCCUGUACAUAAACCCCAUGUCUGUGGUGAGGACACUGUUCCAUGGCUGAUGCGUGUGAGGAGGAUGGCUGUGCUCUGCACCACGAAGAAGAUGUCAUGCUGAGGAUGGGUUUCUGCACUGAUGUUGUUGGUGUGAUGUACUAUAGCGGUGGCUCUCUCACUGUGUCUCUGUUGGCCAUGAAGCGUAACCAUAGAGAGUGAGUGACAGCCUGGUCCCCACACAGCAUAGGGGGCCUGAGGUGAGUAGGAUGUGCCCUUGGCCCUGCCUGUCUGGCUACCUUUGUUUCUCGCAGCAACACAGACACAUACAGAGCCUUCAGAAAUUCAAAAUGGCUUCAAUAAAUAAAACAUUCUCACCCAUCUGCACACAAUACCCCCAUAAUGCCAAUUGUUUGCAAAUUUAUUGACAUUGGCAUACAGAAAUAGCUAAUUUCUCUGAGUCAAUACUUUGUAGAAGGACCUUUGGCAGCGAUUACAGCUUUGUGUCGUCUUGGGUAUGCACAACUGGGUUUGGGGAUUUUCUCCCAUUCUUCCAUGCAGAUUUUCUCAAGCUCUGUUAAGUUAGAUGGGGAGCGGCGGUGAACAGCAAUCUUCAAGCCUUUCCACAGAAUUUCAAUGAGAUUCAAGUCUAAGCUUUGACUGGGCCACUCAAGGACUUUCACAUUCUUGUUCCGAAGCCAUUCCAACAUUGCUUUGGCUGUAUGCUUGGGGUCAUUGUCCUGAUCUAAGGUCGUUUGCACUUUGAAGCAGAUUCUCAUCAAGGAUUUGCCUGUAUUUGGCUCCAUUCAUUGUGCCCUCUAUCGUUACCAGUCUCCCACUCCCUGCCACUGAAAAGCAUCCCAAUAGCAUGAUGCUGCCACCACCAUGCUUCAAGGUAGGGAUGGUGUUAGAUGGGUGAUGAGCUGUGUUUUUGUUUUUCUCCAGACAUAGUGCUUUGCAUACAUUUUUGUCUCAUGAGAACACAAAAUAUUUUUGCCUUAUGCAUUCAGAGUCUCACGUGCCUUUUUGCAAACUCCAGGCGUGCUGUCAUGUGCCUUUUUCUCAGGAGUGGCUUCCGUCUGGACAUUCUCCCAUAAAACCCAGAUUGGUGAAGUAUUGUAGAGAUUGUUGUCCUUCUGGCAGGAUCUCCCAUCUCAGCCAAGGAACUCUGUAGUUCUGUCAGAGAUUUCAUUGGGUUCUUUGUCACCUCUCUGACCAAGGUCCUACUUCCUCAAUUUAGUCGGACGAACAGCUCUAGGCAGAGUCUGGGUAGUUCAAUAUUUUUUUUCCAUUUCCCAAUGACGGAGGCGACUGUGCUCUUGGAAACUUUCAACACUCUAGAAGUUGUUGUAUACCCUUCCCCAGAUGUAUGCCUCAUCACAAUUCUAUAUCGGAGAUCUACUUACUUAUAAUUACUGACUUUAUUGUUUUGUUGCAGUAUCAUGUACACGUUUAAAGUGGCAUUUAAAAAGAACUCCACACCAAACAUCGCACACACUGAGGGACGCAAAAGAGAAUACAUCUGUUUUGGGGAUAUAAAUAAAGAAGAAAAAUUACAAUGUUCGGUGUUAAAAUGAAGGAUUUGAAUAUGGUACGGAAUAUCGACUAUGAGAAACCUACCUUCUCUCGCUGUGUAUCCCACGGUUUGGCACCAUGAAAGAUUGAUCAUGACAGUUCAGAAUGGAACAAAUUAUGUGCUGACUCCAUUUCCUAUGUUCAUGAUCUGCGGCAUGUUUGUCAGUGCUCCCAAAAUGGUGGGUCAAACCCAACCGCAUACUGUGGACAAUUUCUACUCGGGAACGUUGUUUGUUGGGUCUUAAAAAAGAUUGAAUGUCUAAAAAUCACAGCAACAAAGUUUGGGAACCACUGUUCUAGUAUUGCCGAGUUCAGCAUUUAGUUCAUCAGGGGGUCUCAGAUUGCUUCUGUGAUGAAAACUACAUCAUGGCUGCAUUUACACAGGCAGCCCAAUUCUGAUCUUUUUCCCCACUAUUUGGUCUUUUGGCCAAUCACAUCAGAUCUUUUUCAGAGCUGAUCUUAUUUGUCAAAAGACCAAUUAGUAAAAAAAAAAAAAGAUCUGAAUUGGACUGCUUGUCCAAACGAAACCCAUGACACGCGGGGUGUCAAGAGUCUGUGCUAAAAAAAAGUUUAUUGGUCAACUCCAAAUAAUAGACUAGGUGUAGAACUGACUGAGGUGUAAUGAAAAAUCAUACAGUGCAAUGAACAUCCUUUCAUACUCGUCUGUCCAUACUCCUCCUUUCAUAAUCUGUAAGUGAAAUGUGAAUAGGAACCAGAAACCAUGGCAUGAAAUGAAUAAAAAACCACCUACACUGCUAUUGUAUUUCACUGCAGCAUUUAUAAACAUUGAACAGAAAUAUUUUAUCUGGGUUAUGUCAAAUGUGGACUCAGAAUGUACUUUCAGCAUUGGAGGAAAAAGUUGUUUGGGCAUGAAAAUGUAAGAAUUGUGGGGAAUUGGAGCGAAUGCUUUAUUGACGUUCAUUUUUGACUAUUUUCUCUGAGCCCUACUGCCAGUCCCUCAACAAUAUCGUAGCAUGUUUUUACUUUUGCAAGUGAAUCGAAUCGUUCAGCAAUUGAAAUGAAUUAUGUCUGGUAUGCAUCAGUCAAUCAAUAAGCAACCUUAUUUCAUUGGUUAGUUUAGUCCAGGAAGUGGUUUUAACAAGUUUCUAGAUUCUUAAAUUCCAUGGGAUAUCUUUCUUCUCUUUUUUUUAUUUAAAAAAAAAACUUUUGGGAUGAAAAUGCUUCCUAAUUGAGAGAAUGGGUAGGGUGGCCUACACCAGGAAGGGUCAUUCGAUAUCCUACAUGAGAAAAACAGCCAAAUGGAAAGUUCCCUAAAAACUUCUAGCAUUCCGAUGAAAACAAUCCCGUGUCUCUUUUGCCAAGGGGUCACUCAAACACAGUGUGUGAAAUGAGAGUUGCCUUCUGUGCGACUUCUUAGAAGGCGUCCGCUUCCCAUUGUCUGCCCAGUCAACUUCUACAGGCCCCAGUGCCCUGAGUCCCAUACAUAAGAGAUCAAGGGUUACCAAGGUGCUAUUGAGAGAGAAGGGCUCAAUGUGAAAGGGGACAAACUGGACCACAAAAUACUAAUUUCCUUUGCAUGUUAGGUGCGCCCUGUUGGGGAUUCAGACAGGGUCAAUGACACAACUGCUGGAGUUGCUGUUUAUAAACGGUCCUCAGCUCUGUGCAGUGUGUGUGUGUGUGUGUGUGUGUGUGUGUGUGUGUGUGUGUGUGUGUGUGUGUGUGUGUUUAUGUGUAGCUUGAUAAUGCAUUGAGGUGGUUACCCAAGGAAAGUUGGACCUGACUAUGGUCAAGCAGUGCCAGACAAAAGUACCUCAUUUGGAAAGGUACAAGGGGCAUCUGUCCACUCGGGUUCUCUCCACAAUGUCCAGUCACUGAGCUCUGGCAUUAACUUGUAUUCUAACCAGAUUAAAAUAUAUUUGUCCUGGGGAUUAGCAUAGUUAGGUGCCCUUUUGCCUUUCUUUUUUUUGCGGUGGUGCAGUGACACUGGGCUUUGAUCUGUGUUGCAUGGCAAGGGUCCUGGCUUGGGCCCGGCCAUUCGAGUGCCAAGUGUGAAAUUGGCCCGAUGUCAUCCCCAUUCUCCACCUUUUACAUCUUUCACCACUUUAAUUAUGUUUCCGCCACAAAGCCUGGGCACCUCGAAGCAGAUUCCACUCGAGCUAUAGGAAGCAUUUAGAAACUAUGGUAAAAUGACACCAGUAGGGGAGGGUGAGGGCAUAGCAGGAUGGGAUCCUAGGUAGGCAAGGGACAGUAAUACUUUUCUGUUAUUUUCUGUUAUCUCCCGCUUCCUCUUUCUUGGCCCCUCUCUCUCUGCCACCUAACUACCUGUUGGUGGAGAACUUUUACUCUCCUUUAAAAUGGUUGUUUUUGAAGUACGCAUUUUAAUGCACACAUGCAUGUUCAUACAGUUGUUUCUUAAGGUAAUGUGCUCCCCCAGUUAGCUAACCAUUCAUCUCAAUGGGAACCAAUGUUUUAUUUGGAUAGGUAGCUCUCAAACACAGUAAAGUUAUGGUUUCUAAAACAUUUUCUAUGCUUACAUUUAACCUUCACACGACAAGCAAUGGUUUUGGGGCUUAGCAGAUAUUUAGUUUUUUGAAGUGUGAUGGGGUUUUGAUGUUGGGUUUGAAACUUUGGAAAUUGACAGAGGUUCCCAUCGAAAAGCUGCAGAAGUGUGUGGGUGUGUGUGG